rnacentral:rRNA from 1 species
UACGUAGGUGGCAAGCGUUGUCCGGAUUUAUUGGGUUUAAAGGGUGCGUAGGCGGCUUUGUAAGUCAGUGGUGAAAUAUGGCAGCUCAACUGUCAAGGUGCCAUUGAUACUGCAGAGCUUGAGUACAGAUGAGGUAGGCGGAAUUGACGGUGUAGCGGUGAAAUGCUUAGAUAUCGUCAAGAACACCUAUAGCGAAGGCAGCUUACUAGGCUGUAACUGACGCUGAGGCACGGAAAGUGUGGGGAUCAAACAGG